rnacentral:rRNA from 1 species
UACGAAGGGGGCUAGCGUUGCUCGGAAUUACUGGGCGUAAAGCGCACGUAGGCGGCUUUCUAAGUCGGAGGUGAAAUCCUGGAGCUCAACUCCAGAACUGCCUUCGAUACUGGCGAUCUUGAGUCCGGAAGAGGUGAGUGGAACUCCUAGUGUAGAGGUGGAAAUUCGUAGAUAUUAGGAAGAAACACCAGUGGCGAAGGGCGGCUCACUGGUCCGGUACUG